rnacentral:lncRNA from 1 species
CCCAGGGACCUCUGUCAGGGCAAGCAGCAAGACUUUAGCAACUUAGGGAGCUCAAGAGCAGCUUAAAAAAUACUUGUGUUCUUUUGGUGAGCCGGGGAACUGAGAGGGGACAGCUGAACACACGGAGGCACAGGGAGAUGGGGACCAGCGCCACGAUGUGCAGCAAAAAGAAAACAAGGAGAAGUACUAUAAAAAAUGAGAGGAAGGCUUUUCUCUAAGCCUGAACAACUCCU